rnacentral:rRNA from 1 species
CACGGGGGGAGCAAGCGUUGUUCGGAAUCACUGGGCGUAAAGGGCGCGUAGGCGGCUUGGUCAGUCCCGUGUGAAAUCCCUCGGCUCAACUGAGGAACUGCACGGGAAACUGCCUGGCUUGAGUUCGGGAGAGGGAAGCGGAAUUCCGGGUGUAGCGGUGAAAUGCGUAGAUAUCCGGAGGAACAUCAGUGGCGAAGGCGACUUCCUGGACCAAUACUGACGCUCAGGUGCGAAAGCGUGGGGAGCAAACAGG